GUACCAAAUUCUAAUAUGUACGGAUUUAUUCCAAAUAUACUUAGGUUCUACCAGGUGAUCCAUUUAAUUGGGUACACUCACUAUCUUGGAAAGUAUUAACCUUUCCGGAAUUUAUUUUCUAGAACAUUUAAGAGAAAAACUGCUUUACAUUUUAUAUUUAUGUUAAUUUUUAUCACCCUUAUUUUUAGGGGUUAAACCACUACCUACUUUUGAUUUUCCAAAAUCAAAUUAAAUGUGUAUUAAAAAUUCCAUAAAUAGGUGGAGUACUGGAGUAUUAUUCAAAACAAAUUUUAGUACUGAAAUUUUUGAUUUCCGUCAAUCUGUUGAAGAGAUGUUCUACUUUUAAGUUUGGGUUGGAGAAGAGUAGUGGAGUAUCAUUUGUGUGGUUGUACACAAGAUUUUUUAAUUUUUAUUUAAUAUCAAUAUUAUAUAAUUUAGCAAAUUUUCUAAUAUA